rnacentral:lncRNA from 1 species
AUGAAAAAACGCCGCGGAUCUUCAAAGGGGCAUGAUACACACAAGGGGAAACCAGUGAAGACCGGGAGCCCUACGUUCAUCAGAGAGCUCCGGAGUAGGACUUUUGACAGCUCAGAUGAAGUGAUUCUGAAGCCCACUGGAAAUCAACUGACUGUGGAAUUCCUGGAAGAAAAUAGCUUCAGUGUGCCCAUCCUGGUCUUGAAGAAGGAUGGGUUGGGCAUGACGCUGCCCUCGCCAUCAUUCACUGUGAGGGAUGUUGAACACUAUGUUGGUUCUGACAAAGAGAUUGAUGUGAUUGAUGUGACCCGCCAGGCUGACUGCAAGAUGAAGCUUGGUGAUUUUGUGAAAUAUUAUUACAGCGGCAAGAGGGAGAAAGUCCUCAAUGUCAUUAGUUUGGAAUUCUCUGAUACCAGGUAAGAGGUGCAGGAAUAACAAACCUGACAAAGUGCCUGAAACUUGUGUGAUAUAUCUAGUGUAC